AGAGGAAAUGUGAAGGGUAAUGCUACAGGAUGGCCUGGCUUCUGGUGGCGACUCUGUCACAAGCAGAAAUGUGUUUCCUCCAGAGACCACUUUUUUGUGAUAGGGACAUUUCCUUCAUGCUGGAAAACUGAGCUUAAAACCGUUUCCUGGUUAAAGUAGGAGACUGUAAAAGAGCUCUUCAGGUGAGCAUGCAGGUGCUCUUGGCCUUCUAGUUGUCACUCCCUGUACCAUCUGCUCCAGGAAGUCACUGCUUCUCAAAAUCAACUGCAUUUAUUCAGGGUAAAUCUACUGGCAUCUUGUUAAAAGAUGAUUGAGUGGCACUAGCAGCAUGAACCUAGGGUCCCUCUGAAUCCUGGACCCUCUGUGAUGCGUACACCCCUGGCCUAUGGCACCUGCCCAUCUCCCUGUUCAGCCCAGGCACUUUGUAGACAGUGAGGCACACAUGCUUUGGCUGAAGAAGCUUCUAGACACCAUGAAGUACCAAGUCACAUUUGUUCCCAUUGUUGACUCAAAGAACGAUGGGUCCCGCUGCAAGCCUAAGGCCACCGUAAUCAUCGUCGAGCUUGCUUCUCCACCCCAAGGUCUCUAAAUAAAACCUCUUCUUUCUCGG
rnacentral:lncRNA from 1 species